AACGAACGCUGGCGGCAGGCUUAACACAUGCAAGUCGAACGCCCCGCAAGGGGAGUGGCAGACGGGUGAGUAACGCGUGGGAAUCUACCCAGAUCUACGGAACAACAGUUGGAAACGACUGCUAAUACCGUAUAAGCCCUACGGGGGAAAGAUUUAUCGAAUUUGGAUGAGCCCGCGUUGGAUUAGCUAGUUGGUGGGGUAAUGGCCUACCAAGGAGACGAUCCAUAGCUGGUCUGAGAGGAUGAUCAGCCACACUGGGACUGAGACACGGCCCAGACUCCUACGGGAGGCAGCAGUGGGGAAUAUUGGACAAUGGGCGCAAGCCUGAUCCAGCCAUGCCGCGUGAGUGAUGAAGGCCUUAGGGUUGUAAAGCUCUUUCACCGAUGAAGAUAAUGACGGUAGUCGGAGAAGAAGCCCCGGCUAACUUCGUGCCAGCCGCCGCAGUAACAC
rnacentral:rRNA from 1 species